UUCAUUACAAACUUUGGGAGGAACAAUGCGUUUUUGCACAAAUAUCCGUCCUUCCAUCGCUCUGCCAGUUCUUGGAAUCCUACUUUUUGUAGUCCUGGUUUUAACAUAUUGUUACUCAUCAUUUGGGAAGAU